GACGUAGGGCGCGAGCGUUGUCCGGAUUUAUUGGGCGUAAAGAGCUCGUAGGCGGCUUGUUACGUCGACUGUGAAAACCCACGGCUCAACCGUGUGGUCUGCAGUCGAUACGGGCAGGCUAGAAUUCGGUAGGGGAGACUGGAAUUUCUGGUGUAGCGGUGAAAUGCGCAGAUAUCAGGAGGAACACCGGUGGCGAAGGCGGGUCUCUGGGCCGAUAUUGACGCUGAGGAGCGAAAGCGUGGGGAGCGAACAGG
rnacentral:rRNA from 1 species